UGGGGAAUUGUUCGCAAUGGGCGCAAGCCUGACGACGCAACGCCGCGUGGAGGAUGAAGAUCUUCGGGUCGUAAACUCCUUUCGAUCGAGACGAAUGGCCUUCGGGUGAACAAUCCGGAGGAAUGACGGUACCGAGAGAAGAAGCCCCGGCUAACUCCGUGCCAGCAGCCGCGGUAAUACGGGGGGGGCAAGCGUUGUUCGGAAUUACUGGGCGUAAAGGGCUCGUAGGCGGCCAACUAAGUCAGACGUGAAAUCCCUCGGCUUAACCGGGGAACUGCGUCUGAUACUGGAUGGCUUGAGUGUGGGAGAGGGAUGCGGAAUUCCAGGUGUAGCGGUGAAAUGCGUAGAUGUCUGGAGGAACACCGGUGGCGAAGGCGGCAUCCUGGACCAUUACUGACGCUGAAUAGCGAAAGCCAGGGGAGCAAAC
rnacentral:rRNA from 1 species